CUACGGGAGGCAGCAGUUAGGAAUUUUGCGCAAUGGGGGAAACCCUGACGCAGCAACGCCGCGUGGGUGAAGAAGGCUUUCGGGUUGUAAAGCCCUUUCAGCAGGGAAGAAACAAAUGACGGUACCUGCAGAAGAAGCACCGGCUAACUCCGUGCCAGCAGCCGCGGUAAUACGGAGGGUGCAAGCGUUAUUCGGAUUUAUUGGGCGUAAAGCGCGCGUAGGCGGUUUAGUAAGUCUGGUGUGAAAUCCCACGACUCAAUCGUGGAAGUGCAUUGGAUACUGCUAGACUGGAGUACAGGAGGGGAGAACGGAAUUCCUGGUGGAGAGGUGAAAUUCGUAGAUAUCAGGAGGAACAACGGAGGCGAAGGCGGUUCUCUGGACUGUAACUGACGCUAAGGCGCGAAAGCGUGGGAAGCAAACAAGAUUAGAUACCCGGGUAGUCC
rnacentral:rRNA from 1 species